GUGGGGUAACGGCCUACCAAGGCUGCGACGGGUAGCUGGUCUGAGAGGGCGGCCAGCCACACUGGGACUGAGAUACGGCCCAGACUCCUACGGGAGGCAGCAGUGGGGAAUCUUGCGCAAUGGGCGAAAGCCUGACGCAGCGACACCGCGUGGGGGACGAAGGCCUUCGGGUUGUAAACCCCUUUCGACAGGGAAGAAGCGAUCCCGUGACGGUACCUGUAGAAGAAGCCCCGGCUAACUACGUGCCAGCAGCCGCGGUAAGACGUAGGGGGCGAGCGUUGUCCGGAUUCAUUGGGCGUAAAGCGCGCGUAGGCGGCCCGGUAAGUCGGUUGUGAAAUCCUGGGGCUCAACCCCAGGGCUGCAUCCGAUACUGCCGGGCUAGAGGUAGGUAGGGGAGAUCGGAAUUCCUGGUGUAGCGGUGAAAUGCGCAGAUAUCAGGAGGAACACCGGUGGCGAAGGCGGAUCUCUGGGCCUUACCUGACGCUCAGGCGCGAAAGCUAGGGGAGCGAACAGGAUUAGAUACCCUGGUAGUCCUAGCCGUAAACGUUGGGUGCUAGGUGUGGGCGGAUAUCGACCCCGUCCGUGCCGAAGCUAACGCAUUAAGCA
rnacentral:rRNA from 1 species